UUAGCUAAAAAAUGUUAAUGGGAAGAAGCAAAAAGUGGAUGGCGUGGUGCCAGUAAGGUGGUAUCGAUAUGAUUUAGUCUCAAUUAAGUUAGUCGCAGUCACCUGUAAACAAGUUCUGUCUAUAUUUACUUGUUCAAAUGCCAGUGAAACGAACGAUAGAAAAGGAGAACCAACUGUUAGCAAAACUUUUGCUUUGGAUACAAAAGACCAAGUGAAAAUCAUACUGGAAGGGUACACUUUCUUAUAUCUAAACAUUAUUGCAGCUUUCUAGUCUUCGUUUUUGUUUAUGUGUAUUUCAUCUGUGUUGCUAAUGAUAUCACCAGUUUUUAUAAUUUUAUCUUGUUAAGUAAAGCAUCAUUAUGUUUCAGACUAAAAUAGAGCUUUGACUAAUACUUUUAUCCAGUUUAAAUGAAUAACAACUCUCAAGGUGUAUUAGCUGAAUUAUCUUUUUGUUUUGAUAGUCUUUAGUCAAUAACGGAUUUUUAAAUUGUUAUGAGUUUACAUCACUAAAAUUCAGCGAAAUUCCAUUAAAAAGUCGCGUUAUAGAAGAGAGAAAAAUAUCAAUAUCUGUUUUCAAUAAUUUGGCUUUCAUAGCAAAUUUGAGAGGUGCAAAUGUUUAGCUUGGUUAAAGAACCGCGCUGGAAACAUGAAGGGGUUAAAAGGAUUAGCCCUUUUUGAAUAAAUAGUUGAAGUCGUAACCAGCUCAUAUAAAAAGAUUUCUCGACGUGAAGUAGUUAAUUUUAUUCAACAACGCCAAGAAACUGAACUCGCUCAAGAAACAGAAAAAAGAAAGAGAAAGAUGAAAAAGUUCAUUACGUAGUCA